AGGGGUAUAGCUCAGCUGGUAGAGCGGCGGUCUCCAAAACCGUAGGUCGAGGGUUCGAUCCCUUCUGCCCCUGCCA
rnacentral:tRNA from 2 species